CUCCUCGACUGACCUUUGUUUUUAUGCCACGUUUCUGGGCCACUGAUUAUUAAUGGUUGGAUUGAGGAGCUUUGGAG